AGCUCAGAGAUGCAAAAAGCCUGCGGCGCUCGGGAGGCGCCUGGUCCUGGGGACCUCUUUCCUCCACUCUGUUCUCAGCAUAGGAAGAUGGGGCUGGGGAAUUCUUUUUGGUUUUCUGGUUUUGUUUUGCUCUGGUUUUGGUCGGGGUUUUGUAUUUUUCUAUUCUUCCUUGGUUUUAUUUUUUCCUUUUUUUCCUUUUUUUUUUCCUUUUGCUUUCCUGUCAUUCUCCCAGCCAAAAGCCGCCUUCGACCCUUUUGAUUUGAUGUAGCAAAGAGUGUGUGUCCAGAUUAUCUGAAAUAGACACUGAAGAAGCUACACAGAUGGUCAAGCAGGGCCCGGAAGAAGACCAUUCAGGAAAAAGUGGUCCAGGACUCGAUGGAUGGGCUGCCGGCAGACCGGUGUGGCUCAGACCUGGUGACUUUUUGGAGAGGUCGUAGAAUGAGGACAGCAGACACACGAGGACCUUGACUUCGGCGCACAGACAGUGCAAAAAGGAGACAAAGACGGACAGAAUCGAAAAAGAGCGUAUUUCCCCCUCCUACGUAUUUGUUUUUCCUGAUAGUCUCACAAAGCUGAGAGUCUGGUCCGGUCCAGCGGGUAAUCUUGUGGCACUGGCUGUCUCCAGUGGCUGUGCCUGCGCUUUGAGG
rnacentral:lncRNA from 1 species